GAAUAAGGUUCUCGUAGGUGACCUGCGGAGGGAUCAUU
rnacentral:rRNA from 1 species